UACGGAGGGUGCGAGCGUUACUCGGAAUUACUGGGCGUAAAGGGUUCGUAGGUGGUUUGUUAAGUUAUCUGUGAAAUCCCCGGGCUCAACCUGGGAAGGUCAGAUAAGACUGAUGGACUCGAGUAUAGGAGAGGGUAGUGGAAUUUCCGGUGUAGCGGUGAAAUGCGUAGAGAUCGGAAGGAACACCAGUGGCGAAGGCGGCUACCUGGCCUAAUACUGACACUGAGGAACGAAAGCGUGGGGAGCAAACAGG
rnacentral:misc_RNA from 1 species